rnacentral:tRNA from 1 species
GCCUAAGUGGCUUAGUCAGUUAAGGGUCUGACUCUUGAUUUCAGCUCAGAUCAUGAUGUCACGGUUUGUGGGUUCAAGCCCCGCUUCAGGCU